rnacentral:misc_RNA from 1 species
GUAGUUCCAUGGAUACCCUUAACAGUUCUUGAAGAGAAAAACUGACGGAAAGAAGGGAAAAGAGAAAAAAAAAAAUCCCAAGAAAAAAGAUAAGAGAAUUUCAGAAAAUGCCAAUAUACUCCAAUGGUAAAAACGAAGAAAGCAAAAUAAAAAACAUAGCUGGGAAUUACACAAAAAUCUCUGGCAUGAAAGACUUUCCUCUCAAGAAUCUUGCUAAUCCCAGCCAUUUUUUUUUCAUAUCUCAUCCUACGCCCCCUACCAACCAUGCUUUUAAUAUCUACAUCUAUAUAUUCAUCCCUCUUCCUCAGCCCCUAAAGCAAUAAUCUUCUUUAAUUUUAACUUUUGCUUCUCUCUCACAGUGGCUCUUCCUCCUGUUGCUGCUGUUGCUGCUUCUUCAUAUUCUUGUUAUUAUGCAUCCACACUUUGAAAACCCGCCUUUUCACCCCAACUUCUGCACAGAACUUCUGUACUUCCUCCUCUUCCUGCUUAUUGAUCCUCCAUCCGAUCCUCUCAGCAAACUCCAUCAUUUUAACCUUCUGAUCUUGAGUGAAUUUUGUCCUAAACCUUUUCUUGGAUAAAACAUAAGGCGGUGGCGGUGGCACUCCCUCAGCUUUAGACUGGAAGGCAUUAUUGAGAUCUUCACUAGAGGACUCAGUUCCUCCACCUCCGCCGCCCCCACCACCAAAAGCCACACUCAUGGGUUGAACCACGUUUGCGGUGGUAGGACUAGUGUGCAAUCCCAAGGAAUAUAUUUGAUGAUGCAGUACUGUUGGAGAGGGUAAUGGUGGUGGCAACUGAAGGACUAAGGGACUUCUUCUCGAACUCGGACUGAAUUGGGUCUCCCCAUCUACCUCUUUGCGGUGGAAGUUGCGGUGGCACUCACAAGCCGCACAUUUUAAAGCUUCGAGUGUGCCCUCUUCUCCCCCCGGCAUGAACUCACCGCAGCCGUCGAAAACGUUGCCACCGACGCUGGCGGCGUGAUUCCUGAGGCAUUCUCGAUACCUGACAUUGGAUGUCUUGGAGUUGGAUCCUUUUGAAAUGGUUGAAAGUCGAUCUGUGUUGGGAGAUCUUGCUUGGGGAAGUAAUGGUUGUCUAUGGUGAUCUAGGGUUUGGGUGUAAGUGAGAGAUGUGUUGCCAUUGUGAUUCCCAUCUCUUCUUCUUUCCAAUCCUGAUGAUUGGUGACUAAAACUUGAAGGUACUGACGUUCUCAUAUCAUUGAUUUCUUGACCUCUUAAUUCCAUGACUAUAGAUAUCUGAGAUCUCCUACGCUAGUAGACAGAUACUUGCACUGUAGCUAGCUGUGGAAAAUUUCAAUUAUCGAUCUAGUCUUCAUAUUUAUCAAAACUUUUGAAAUCUGGGAGUUGAUGAAGAUUAUACCAAAAUAAUAAUGAUUAAGAAAUAUUUCUGAUCCCAAGCUUCACAAAAUGCCCUAAUAUAAUACGUGGUUUUCCAAGGUUAAUGAUGCGAAAGGCCGCAAUCUAAGGUCCUAAUUUUCUCACCAGACACACAGACACACUCUCAAAGAUUGAAGAAGUUAUUGCACUUAGAAGA